UACGAAGGGGACUAGCGUUGUUCGGAUUUACUGGGCGUAAAGCGCGCGUAGGCGGAUCGCUAAGUCAGGGGUGAAAUCCCGGGGCUCAACCCCGGAACUGCCUUUGAUACUGGUAGUCUUGAGUUCGAGAGAGGUGAGUGGAAUUCCGAGUGUAGAGGUGAAAUUCGUAGAUAUUCGGAGGAACACCAGUGGCGAAGGCGGCUCACUGGCUCGAUACUGACGCUGAGGUGCGAAAGCGUGGGGAGCAAACAGG
rnacentral:rRNA from 1 species